rnacentral:lncRNA from 1 species
ACUUCCGGCUCUUGACUCCGCCCAGCCGCGCCACCCAGGUAGGUGCGCCUGCGCUUUGCGAGGUUCCUGGCUAGGGAGGCGGCCUUGGCUGGCUUGACCGUCAUCCUUGAGGCCUGCGGGGCAACGGUGGCUGUCCUUGGCCCGGCUUUGGAAUGUGGCUUUGCAGGGCUGGUGUUGGCGCCAUUCUCGCAGGCCCACGUGCUCCUGCUCUUCCAGGGUGUCCUCGGCUGUUUCUCCUGCCGCGGCGCAGCAGCGCUCCCAGGCUGCCCCCGCGAUAACACGCCCCUGGCAGCCAGGCUCCCAGCUCUGUUACGUGCCCGGGCGGGGAAGAGCUUCCUGGUGUCUCCCGGCUCCUGCCCUUCUCCCGCCCCAGGGGCGGGCUGCCGCCGCCCUCUGCAGCUGAGUCAGUGCAGUUCCUCACCUACCUUCUCUGCUCACCGCUGUGUGCUAGCAAUCGGAGGACCCUUGGCACACGGAGCGACAGGGGCCUCCCCCACAGACACCUCAUUUUGGGAAAGAAGCUGUACAGGAGGCAUGGCUGGGGAGGCCUCAGAAAACUUACAAUCAUGGCAGAAGGUGAAGGGGAAGCCAGCACAUCUUCAUAUGAUGGCAGGAACUUUAUAUGUUAUAGAAGUUAGCCCCAAGAAUGAAAUCGUGUCCUUUGCCAAAACAUGGAUGGAGCUAGAGGCCUUUAUCCUAAGGUGCUCUAUGCUUAGCCCAUCAUAGAUUGUGGCCCUUCAUUCCUGCAUUUGAUGAAUCCAGGGAACCCUCUCUCCAACACCCUUGGCCUCUCUGCAACUUUCUAACAUCAGGCAGAGUCAGAGGCACCAUCCCCAGAAGCUACAAAUCUUCAGCAUUCUCCACUCUGUGAAGUCAGAGGAAUGGCGGGACCAUAGCUCUGAGCUCAUUGGCAAAUACAACUAAUUUCAAUUUCUGGAAUGGAAGCAGUCAGAUAUUCUUCUGACUGCACGCGUAUGUGGGAGUGCCAUGUUGAAGAGUGGAAAAUAUGGAAGAUCAGUCCCUACAAACUUAAUAGGAGAAUGACAUUCAGAUUUCCCGAGUAUUUUGCAUGUCCAACUGAAAACUGAAGUAGGUUUAUGAGAGAAUGCACGCCUACCUGGAUGGGUCUGGGGAGUGUGUCACUGUCACCGCAGAUAAUUGACAAGGGCUGAUCAAAUAGCGAUGCUUUCAAGUCUGUCUCCAAAGCCCCAGAAAAAUCUGAUGCAGGGGAGAGCCUUCUCAUGAGAAAGGGCCAGGACAGCACCUUCUUUCUCUUCUUAACUUCUACAGCCAAGAAAACAAGGCAACGAGAAAAAUUAGACUACAGUGUUAAGAAGCAAAGAUCCAGGUAAGAAAAUGGGUAUCGUUGGCCGCAUAAUGUGGUCAAUAGUAUGCGAUGUGAGAAAAAUAAUUUUGAAAACUUGAGAAAGCAAAGGGCGUGAAUCUUAAUCUAGAAAAACCAACCGAUAAACAACCACACUGUUACCAGGGCAACCAGUUCCCUAAACAGCAACACCAGAGUUCCUCAAGGCCUCCACCUUUCCUGUUUUCACUCUUUCCAGCUGUUUGCUACAGAAAAUUAGCAAAACCUAACUGUGCUGAUCAUAAACAACCAUCUUAACCUACUGGCCUGAAUAACUAUAGAGGAAAUUUCUGAUAUGAAAUAGAUUAUUUUGAUUUCCUCCUUUAACUGGCGAAGAAAACGAAACUUAAAAGGUGAGGAAGUGACUUGCUGAAUAUCUUUUCGAAGGCACAUAGCAGGGCUGGCUCCAACCCUUUGCAGCCACGCAGGCACUAAACAGCCACUAGAGGGAGCUAACACCAUUUUUCCUUCCAGGUGACUGGUCACCUUGGGUUUUCCAGGUUGCUGCUUUAGGACAGAGGCAAAUACGAAUCGCUGCGGGAAGCCUUGAACCUAGAUCUGGCAACUGGGAAUUAUCAGCAAAACGUUAUCAAGAUAUUCUGUCCUUCUGAAAUCCACAAGAUGUGUGUGCAAUGGAUAUUGCAAUCUCAAACAUUUCCUUCUUUCUUUUCUUUUCCUUCCUUCCUUCCUUCUCCUUUCUUACUAAUUAUAAAGGCUAUAUUUUCUAAAUGCA